GGUUGAAUGGCUCAAUGGUAGAGUAUCACUUUCCGGUGGUGAAGGUUCUGGGUUCGAGCCCCAGUUUGGUCG